rnacentral:rRNA from 1 species
UGAGGAAUAUUGGACAAUGGGCGCAAGCCUGAUCCAGCCAUGCCGCGUGCAGGAUGACGGUCCUAUGGAUUGUAAACUGCUUUUGUACAGGAAGAAACAGUUCUACGUGUAGAACCUUGACGGUACUGUAAGAAUAAGGAUCGGCUAACUCCGUGCCAGCAGCCGCGGUAAUACGGAGGAUCCAAGCGUUAUCCGGAAUCAUUGGGUUUAAAGGGUCCGUAGGCGGUUAGAUAAGUCAGUGGUGAAAGCCCAUCGCUCAACGGUGGAACGGCCAUUGAUACUGUCUGACUUGAAUUAUUAGGAAGUAACUAGAAUAUGUAGUGUAGCGGUGAAAUGCUUAGAGAUUACAUGGAAUACCAAUUGCGAAGGCAGGUUACUACUAAUGGAUUGACGCUGAGGUGCGAAAGCGUGGGGAGCAAACAGGAUUAGAUACCCAGGUAGUCCCUGAGCGGGCUGGCAAGGCGCAU